UCCCUGGUAUCUCAGCUGGCAAAGAAUCUGCCUGCAAUGCAGGACACCUGGGUUCAAACCCUGGAUUGGGAA
rnacentral:tRNA from 1 species